rnacentral:rRNA from 1 species
UGGGGAAUAUUGCACAAUGGGGGAAACCCUGAUGCAGCGACGCCGCGUGAACGAAGAAGGUAUUCGUAUCGUAAAGUUCUGUCCUAUGGGAAGAUAAUGACAGUACCAUAGAAGAAAGCUCCGGCUAAAUACGUGCCAGCAGCCGCGGUAAUACGUAUGGAGUGAGCGUUGUCCGGAAUUAUUGGGCGUAAAGGGUACGCAGGCGGUUUAAUAAGUCGAAUGUUAAAGAUCGGGGCUCAACCCCGCAAAGCAUUGGAAACUGAUAAACUUGAGUAGUGGAGAGGAAAGUGGAAUUCCUAGUGUAGUGGUGAAAUACGUAGAUAUUAGGAGGAAUACCAGUAGCGAAGGCGACUUUCUGGACACAAACUGACGCUGAGGUACGAAAGCGUGGGGAGCAAACAGG